GUUUUUUAGGCAAAAUUUGUUCAUUGUGUUUCUUUCUCUGUUUCUGUGAACUAGCACCCCUAAUGCUAACACCAAGGUCCUCUUUCUUGUUCUUAAUUCAAUGCACCCAAAUUUCUAAGACUAAGAGAUUCUGACUGUCUCAUCUUGAACUCCAGUGAAUUCUGUCUUUUACCGAGCUCACUGAGAAGCAGUUCUGCUGCUGCUUAAAUCCUGAGUCAUAAAGCAACUGAAAAUGCAGGCUUUCUCUAAUCUGCCAUCUUGAAUCCUAUGGCCAGUAUGACUGGAUAUUCUUAAAUACACAUAUGUGUCUAGAGUUAAAACCUGCAAGAAGUUUUUAUAAUAAUGCUUUUCCCAAAUGCUAAUAAGAUUCUUUCCAGAAUAUGAUAGAAGGUCCUUCACAACUUAAAAGAGUCAGAAACUAAAUGCAUCAAUUGUUUGGUGCCACCAAUAAACUCCACUGAUAUUAAGUGAUGGAGCUUCUUAACACUUACCCUUCCUAUACUAACAUCAACUGUACAUAAUCAUUUUUUUGUCCAAUUCACAUAACCUUUACUUCCAGCAAUCUCAAUGGAUUUUUCACAACUACUCUGCAAGGUAAGCAGGACAGGUAUUGGUAAGCCCAUUUUCUCAGUGAAUAAAACCAAGAUCAAAGAGGGUAAGACACUGAGAGUGGUGACUUCUAUAGAUUACACAGCAAAGGAGGAGCAGAUCCCUGACUAAUAAAUCCCCUACAGUCUCAAUGCUUCUAUUUAAAACAAUAUUAAUAAGUGAUUUCUUAGAACAAGACAUAGGCCCUAGUCCCAAAAUUAAAGAAGUUGU
rnacentral:lncRNA from 1 species